GGAGGGAGGCAGGAGGGAGCUAAUGAUGGAAAGAACCUCUGACAUCAAGCCCUCUUCCCUUCAGAGACUCUGCAAGUCCCUCUCUCAUCCAGCAGCCCACUUCAUCCUCUAAGGACCCUGCCACGUCUGUGUGGAAGGCCAGUGCACUUGUCCGUCUGGGGUGGGGACCUUUGUCGGGGAUCUGCCCCUGCCUGCAUGUACCACCCACCCAGCCACGCUCCCCUCCCCCCGCCCUCCGUCCAAUCUCAGGAAGUUCCACCUGACCACCCACCCAGUUGCCCAGGGACCAUUAAUUUUUCUAUGGACGAUCAAACCCAGAUAGAGUGGAAGGGCUACCGCACGGCUGAUCCCGAAACAGUAACCAAGGCGCCAGGGACAACAUCUGGGGGUCGACCAGGACAGGCAGUGGACACAACCGUGUUGGCCUUACGUGUACUGGGAAAGUUUUCUCCGGUGUAUGUCCCCGAGGGGCAAAGGGGUAGAAAUCCUCCGCAUGGCAAACUGGCACAAUGCAAGAAAAACCGGUCACAUGUAGAACCCUAUCCUAAGGAAGGC